CACUUGUGCUUUUUAAUUUCUUCUCUGAGAGAAACAACGCACCUUCUUUGCACCUGCAAAGUGCAAACGCUGCAAUUUCUCUCCCUUCGGCUAUUCUUUGACCACACCAACUCAUUCCUCUCGUCCUCUCGAGCUGUAAUUUUCACUUCCAAAACGGUGCUGAAAUUGUGUUAUCUGCAGAAAAAAAGACUGAAUUUUGCAACAGCGAGAGCACUUCACUGGAAAUGUGCACCAAUUCUGAGCUUCCUUGUCACCAGGGUCGUCUUCCUGACCGAGCUCAGCCAUUGUGCCAUCCACGACAUGGACGACGAUGCGCAGGUUAAUUACGUCACCGCCGGGGAGAGGAUGAGGUCCUGUGCUCUGUCGUCUCUCCAGGUGAGGCUUCGAAGAGGACCCGACCUCCCCGUCGCUUCCCAACGGCGUCGUAGCCACCCCCUCCACCUUCUCGUCCUUGUUCUCAGUGGCUCGCCAAUACGCACACACUCGACGACUCCUUUGCCUGCUUCGCCUGUGAGCUGGCUUGGUCGCAGUGGUUGGGCUCUUGCGCUCCGCGAUGCUUCCUGGGACGACGUGUUUGGCGACAGGGAUGAGGAGGCGGGGAUUUUGGUGUGUGUCGAUGAUGAGGCAAGGGAGAGAGAGGAGAAAUGGAGGGAAGAGAGGAAAUAGAGGGGGUGCU
rnacentral:lncRNA from 1 species